rnacentral:lncRNA from 1 species
CAUGCAUAUGGAUUUGGAAAUGUGAACUUAAUUGAUGAUAUAAAUGAACAUAAAAGACUUAAUAACGAAGAAGAGUCAGAGUCAGUCCAAGUGCGUGUGUAGAGCUUGCAUGUGAUUGAGGGUAUGUGUGUUGCAUGGGAUUUUUGGGAUUAAAAUAUAGGGACAUGUAUGGCACUGGGGAUUGUAUGAUAUCGAUUGUAGAGUAUGGAUUAUAGGAUAAGGACUAAUUGAUGGAUUGAUGGAUUGUUAUUGCU